GAUGAACGCUGGCGGCGUGCCUAAUACAUGCAAGUCGAGCGAACGGACGAGAAGCUUGCUUCUCUGAUGUUAGCGGCGGACGGGUGAGUAACACGUGGAUAACCUACCUAUAAGACUGGGAUAACUUCGGGAAACCGGAGCUAAUACCGGAUGAUAUUUUGAACCGCAUGGUUCAAAAGUGAAAGACGGUCUUGCUGUCACUUAUAGAUGGAUCCGCGCUGCAUUAGCGAGUUGGUAAGGUAACGGCUUACCAAGGCAACGAUGCAUAGCCGAGCUGAGAGGGUGAUCGGCCCCACUGGAACUGAGCCACGGUCCAGACUCCUACGGGAGGCAGAAGUAGGGAAGCUUCCGCAAUGGGCGAAAGCCUGACGGAGCAACGCCGCGUGAGUGAUGAAGGUCUUCGGAUCGUAAAACGCUGUUAUUAGGGAAGAACAUAUGUGUAAGUAACUGUGCACAUCUUGACGGUACCGAAUCAGAAAGCCACGGCUACCUACGU
rnacentral:rRNA from 1 species